rnacentral:rRNA from 1 species
GAUCCUGGCUCAGAACGAACGCUGGCGGCAGGCUUAACACAUGCAAGUCGAACGCCCCGCAAGGGGAGUGGCAGACGGGUGAGUAACGCGUGGGAACGUACCUUUCAGUUCGGAAUAACUCAGGGAAACUUGUGCUAAUACCGGAUACGCCCGCAAGGGGAAAGAUUUAUCGCUGAAAGAUCGGCCCGCGUUGGAUUAGCUAGUUGGUGGGGUAAAGGCCUACCAAGGCGACGAUCCAUAGCUGGUCUGAGAGGAUGAUCAGCCACACUGGGACUGAGACACGGCCCAGACUCCUACGGGAGGCAGCAGUGGGGAAUAUUGGACAAUGGGCGCAAGCCUGAUCCAGCCAUGCCGCGUGUGUGAUGAAGGCCUUAGGGUUGUAAAGCACUUUCACCGAUGAAGAUAAUGACGGUAGUCGGAGAAGAAGCCCCGGCUAACUUCGUG